UGGGGUAUAUUGCACAAUGGGCGAAAGCCUGAUGCAGCGACGCCGCGUGGGGGAUGAAGGCUUUCGGGUUGUAAACCUCUUUCGCUAUCGAACAAGGCCCGCUUAGGGUGGGUUGAGGGUAGGUGGAGAAGAAGCGCCGGCUAACUACGUGCCAGCAGCCGCGGUAAUACGUAGGGCGCGAGCGUUGUCCGGAAUUAUUGGGCGUAAAGGGCUUGUAGGCGGCUUGUUGCGCCUGCUGUGAAAACGCGGGGCUUAACUUCGCGCGUGCAGUGGGUACGGGCAGGCUUGAGUGUGGUAGGGGUGACUGGAAUUCCAGGUGUAGCGGUGGAAUGCGCAGAUAUCUGGAGGAACACCGAUGGCGAAGGCAGGUCACUGGGCCAUUACUGACGCUGAGGAGCGAAAGCAUGGGUAGCGAACAGG
rnacentral:rRNA from 1 species